rnacentral:rRNA from 1 species
GACGGAGGGUGCUAGCGUUGUUCGGAAUCACUGGGCGUAAAGGGCGCGUAGGCGGCCUUGCAAGUCGGUUGGUGAAAGCCCGGGGCUCAACCCCGGAGGUGCGGCCGAGACUGCAGGGCUGGAGGCCGGAAGAGGAGGGUGGAAUACCCAGUGUAGAGGUGAAAUGUGUAGAGAUCGGGAGGAACACCGGUGGCGAAGGCGGGUCUCUGGGCAUCUCCUGACGCUGAGGCGCGAAAGCGUGGGGAGCAAACGGG